GUUCAUCGAUCGACCACGUACGAGUUGUAAGUAAAUGUAAUUUUCGCACGUAGAGCCGAAAAUUUCCUUAACGUAUACUAUACUUCGUAACAUUCACACGGAACUGUUAAAAAUCUUUUCUCCCACGCAAUGCAGCCCAACGCAACUCAAUGCAACGCAAUGCAACUCAAGGCAAGGCAAGGUUAAAGCGAACAAGCUCACGCUUUUCCAGCGUGACACGUACGUGAGCUCGUACAAAUGUCAUCGACCUUGCCCAUUGCCCGCCAAUUUUCCGGAGGAAGAAAGAUAUUAUUCUUACUCAACCGUACAAAAAAUACCUCCGCGUAAAGGAUGCACGCGUGAAGAGCACACGCACUGUUCUUAUCCCGCUCGGCGAAGCUCACCAUGGGAAAAGGAGGAGGGUCGAGCCCUUCCUCUUCUAAAACUACCGGAUCGAUCGAUUUCGUUCUGUAACAACUGAAACAAAAAAAUUAACAAAAACAAAACCAA
rnacentral:lncRNA from 1 species